ensembl:lncRNA
UGAAGGAGAGUCAUGUGUGACCCAGAUGCAAUGCAGAAAAGAAAAGUGUCGUUGGAAAAGGCUCCAAAGGUUCUCCACCCACACAGAGAAAUAAAAACAACACUGUUCUAUGGUAUGCUCAGAUCUUUAGAUUUUGACGUGUCUAUGGACAUGCACGAUGGCGCCGUAUAGCUCGCAAGCAAUUUCGGCUAAUAAUGUUGAUCUAAUGUGACGAUCCGUGCAGGAAAAUCUCAUUCGGAGAUGGACACCCUGAAUCUCCUCGUGCUUCACGUCCAAUCCCUGCACCAGCUACCUUAGACUUAAUAGGUAAGAGCAAUAACCUUGUGUUAGUCAUCGACACAGCCUGAGAGUUUGUGUGAAAAUGGAAACGCAGAUACGCCACAGAACAAAAGAAGAAGAGUUCUACAGAACUACAGAGUGAAAAUAUGGAAAAUGAAUAAAGUAACGAAUGAUUAUCAACCUGUAAACCUGUCGAUUCAUGUAUACAUGACGAUGUUGCACGCUGUUAUGAAUAAUAAUUGAUGCAGAUGUGUUUAGUCGUGUCACAACCUCUCACAAACACUAACAUAUUAGUAUUAAAACUCUUCAUAAUCAAUAUACCUGGAUUUAAAUUUUGCACUCGUUUUAAAAGCUCUAUUAUGCUUUAUUUAUUAUGCUUUAUUAUUUUUUUUAUUAUUAUUAUUAGAAUUUAAGUUUCAAUGUCCAAUAAAGCCUUAUGUAGUGAAGUCUGUCUCAGAGGAUGAACUUCAACGCAGACUACGUCCCAAAUCCUCACACUACACUACUGUAUGACAAAAAUACUAAUAUAACUAGUGCAUGUGGCGUUAGUCUAUUUUUAACUCAUUGUUUGGUGCGGAUUUGGGACGCAGCCCAAGUGAUUAAAAUAUGCGCAAAUCAGAUGCGCAACUAUAAACGCAGCAACUUUCUCCUUAGGCCACAUGUGUCUUUUGUACUAAAUCGAUACACAGAUUGACUCUCUCUCUCUCUCUCUCUCUCUCUCUC